CCUACGGGGGGCAGCAGUGGGGAAUAUUGCACAAUGGGCGCAAGCCUGAUGCAGCCAUGCCGCGUGUGUGAAGAAGGCCUUCGGGUUGUAAAGCACUUUCAGCGGGGAGGAAGGCGUUAAGGUUAAUAACCUUGUCGAUUGACGUUACCCGCAGAAGAAGCACCGGCUAACUCCGUGCCAGCAGCCGCGGUAAUACGGAGGGUGCAAGCGUUAAUCGGAAUUACUGGGCGUAAAGCGCACGCAGGCGGUCUGUCGAGUCGGAUGUGAAAUCCCCGGGCUCAACCUGGGAACUGCAUUCGAAACUGGCAGGCUAGAGUCUUGUAGAGGGGGGUAGAAUUCCAGGUAUAGCGGUGAAAUGCGUAGAGAUCUGGAGGAAUACCGGUGGCGAAGGCGGCCCCCUGGACAAAGACUGACGCUCAGGUGCGAAAGCGUGGGGAGCAAACAGGAUUAGAUACCCCGGUAGUC
rnacentral:rRNA from 1 species